UAACUACUCCACCCAUCUCAAAAUUCUUGUCUUAAAUUUAUCUAAAUACGGAUGUAUCAAGUCACGUUUUAGUAUUAGAUACAUCCGUAUCAAGACAAAUUUAAGACAAAAUUUUUGGGACGGAGGGAGUAAUAA
rfam:Triticum urartu cultivar G1812 contig137895, whole genome shotgun sequence.